rnacentral:sRNA from 1 species
UUCUUGCAUGAGGGAUAGCUGUGAAAUCCUUUUUUUUUUCUUCAAAAAAGAUUGUAACCGAUAGCCCGACCCUUG